UUUUUUCUUCACACCGUGCCCUAGCCUCCCUCUCUGCCCGACGCCGUCUCCUCCCCUUCCUCGCCGCGCCAACCUUCUCUUCUCUUCCUCUUCAUCGCCAAACGCAUCUUCCCCUCUUCUGAUCGUCAUCCCCUGAUCUACUCUUCCUUCCCAAGCCGCACUGCCGGGCUCUUCCUUUUCUCCCCUCAUCUCAUCGCCGGAAGGAAGGAUCAACGCCAACCUCGCAUCUCUGCCCUAGAGCACCGACCACCUCCUCUUUGCCUCUCUUCUGAUCCUGAGGUUGCUUUCGUGCUAGCACCAUUUGUCCGACAGUCAGCCCCCUCACUCCCGAUCUCCCCUGCGCCGAUGUUAUGCCCUAGUCCCGAAUCACCGCUUCGCGCCACCAUUGCUCCGCCACUUCGCCGAGCGCCGGCGCCGAUCGACCACCACUGCCUUGCACCAGAGCAACCUCACCCACUCACGGUGUUGAGCCCAACCUGGUAGGGUCGUUGUCUUCCUCUGCUCUGAGCUGGUGCCACCAGCCACGGUUGCUAUUGUCAUCGCUGGAGAAGAAGAGUUAGGUAUUUGUUUUGGAGGGCAGCAUCUUCACCUAAUUCCGAUCAUCGCUGCGACACCAUCCUCUUAUUGGAUUUGAGAGGAGAGCUCUACUUCUAUUUCUGUUGCGAUUGGGUUUCUUCAUCAAGCAGUGAAUCAGAUUGGGGAAUUAAAGAGGAGUCAUGCACACGAGUCGAGUCAAACCGAUUGGUUGAAAGCUAUAGAUACAAACCCGGCUCAAUUUGAGAAUAUUUGACUCAAGUCAAAUGAAGAGUUGGACUUAUCUAGCUCAAUCAAGAAGCGGAUCAUCUUCUAAUGGUUUUAACUCAAAUCCAUACCUAAACCCAAUCCACUUCUUAAAGCUCAAUUCCAAAAGUCCAAUUUCAUACUCUUAAUGGAUCGGAUCCCUCUCCUUAACCCAAAAUCCGAACCCGUUAAGAAACCCUUCUCCUUAUUCACUCCACACACGGCACAGUAGAACUCCUCUGGGUUCGCGUUUCUUCUGCUCGCGACAAAGCUAGGGCACGCGGCCACCUCUUCUCCUUUCUCCCUUUUCUCUGGCCGGCGGCGUUUUCUCUUCGCUUGCCGUCGGCCGGCCAACCCUUCCUAUUCUUCCUCCUCUGUGAUCUGCUCCAAUCGGCAACGGACAGUGGCAAUCUCCGGCGGUUGCAAGCGACGGCAAGCAUCUCUGAUCAAGCUCAACUCGCUGAGGGCGUUUCCCCGGUGAGUUUCCUUCUCUUUAUCUUCUGAUUUCUCUCUUGAGGGUGUUCCCCAUUAGGGUUCAGAGGAGGAGAAGACAGGAGAGAGCUCCGAUCAACUCGCUGAGGGUGUUUCCCCGGUGUUCCCCUUUCAUCCCCGACCAUCAUCUGGACUUCUUUUCUCACUGAGGGAGUUACCCCGAUGGGCAAAGGAGCAAGAAGAUCGCUGGCGGCAGUCCACUUAUCUCAUCAGUAGCACUUGAGGGUGUUCCCCGGCGCUACUGACCUCAUUCCGACCUGCAUCUUUCUGCCAUUUUCAGCAUUUCAGCCGGACGCUUGAGGGAGCUUCCAAGGCGCACGGUUUCAUUCUGUUCAUCAACAGCACUUGAUGGAGUUUCACUGGUGUUGUUGGUUCCAUUCCGUUCAUCAAUAGUCGUUCCAGAAGAUGCAGAGAUCAUCUAUCACUGAUUGCCAGAGUUGAGUAUUCUGCCGGAAUAGUUGUUGUCCGCUGGUGAAGGUGUUUCUGAUCCAGGCCUCCGUGUGAUGGCGGGGGUUGUCGUGUGGUGAAUGAUCAUAGAAGAGAAGAAGUGGUUGGGUAAUUAGGAUUUAUUUUUGUUUGUUUGUUUGAAUUGUUAAGUUGUAAUUCACUUUUAUGUUCAUUCUUACAGUCAUGUUCUUAUGUUCUUUAGAUUGUUAUAUUACAUUUUGUUUAGUUGCAUUUACUUAGAUGUUGUCUUUAUUUUCCUGCAUUUACUCGUUAUGUUCUUCUGUUAGAUCUAUUAAUGAUUAAACGUGAGUUGUAGAGUGACAAUGCAAUGCAUGUUUGUCAUUAAUAGUUAACUAGGAGCUAGUUUCAUGUUUCACAAUUAUUUUUGUUCAUGGUGAAGUCUACAUUGUAGAGUGACACUGCAUUGUGGGUUUAUCAUUGUUGCUGGUUAAUUAGGAUUUCCUUAUUUGCAUUAGGUGUAGAAAUUCCAAAAACAAAAACCCUGGUUCGAUCUUGUCUGAAAAUAAACGUCCGAUCACUGUUUCCACGUGAGAGACAACCCGGUCCUCUACUAUACUACCUUAGUGUAAAUUAAGGGGUUCGGUGGAUUAGAAAUGAAUUAAUUUGAUUUAUGAGUGUGACAGAUUCGUUAUCAGCCCUCCGAGAGAGAUAUCAAAUAUGGCUCGAGGAUCCGUCCGGUCAAAAAACAUAUGCCGCCUUCUCAACCGCCAGCCGCAACUCUCCCACCGCGCCCUCACCGAGAAGCACCCUGACGCCUCCUCCACCGACGGCGAAGACGAUCCCCUCCACUUCUCUGUGACUCUUCAACAGUCUUUAUGCUGCCUAUGCUAGAACUGAUAACUUCCAUUAAAAUCAAAUGAUUUCUCCCUUUUGCAGUAACUUCCAUUUAGUUCUUCGCUUCUGACUGAUUAAUAUCUUUUUAGUUCCUUUGCUUUUUGAAUUUUGGUGUAUAUGCAAGAUCCAAUGAUUUUAAAUCACAUUUUCAGAUUUGACUUAAUGUGUAGUGUCCAUCUCCAUUCAGUCCCUUAGUAGAUCAAGAAUGUCAUGCUAUAGAAUGUACCUCUUUUUUUAUUGGAGAAGAUGAUUCUGUUUCCAUUUUGA